CUUAACUGACCAUGAUAUAUUAAAAAUAUUUAGGAGGGAGAGUGCGUUUGAGUAGGAUAUAAUAUCUUAUAUCUAAUAAAGAUAAAAAGAAUAAGCGAGUUCUAAAUAAUAAGAGACAAAAGAUCUGAAUUAAAGUCAUACUUGCCUUCAUGCAGUUCGAGUGUUUACUCCGCGAGUGUUCAGCACAGAAUGUUGCUUUUUUUUAUUAAGAGAUUUUUAUAAAAAUAUCAAAUUAAUUUUUUCAAACGUAACCGAAGAGUGAUAUAAGCCAAUAUAUCAAGUAAAAAAUAUAAACAAAAUAAUAUUAACAUUGAAAACCAAUAGUCGACGUUAAUCAUUCCCAUUUCAUGCAUAAGUUUUUUUGGAAAUGCAAAAUGACAAUAAUCAUCAGAGCACUUCAUUUUUCGUCUAUCGAAUCUGUAAUAUAAAUAAAUUUGAUUAAUAAACUGGUUUAACUUGAUUAAUAAAAAGUUAAGUGAACUUAUGACCUACCCAUACAUAGAGGCCAUCGCAGUUUCAAAUCCAUAUUUGAGAAAGGAUGCGUGGAAAAGCCAUUGGAGAUAAGAAGGUGCGUCAUUUAUGUGGACAAAGAAUCCACUGAAUAUAACAAAGGGCAUUAUUAACAGAGGUCCAAGGAUUACGCUGUUCUGUGGACAUGUUAAUGAAUUUUUAGUAAAAUUUACUCCGAAGGGGAGUUUAUUUUAAUAUUAAGGUCAUUCUCAGACCCUCCCCCCACUUUUUAAAAAUAUGCUAUGACUUUCAACAGAAAUUUGUUGAAUAAAUUUUAGCCAACAAAAUUUAAAAAUUCGAAUUAUAAAAUUGACAUCACAAUUUUACUGAAAUUUAUUUAACGAAUUUUGUUUAACUCCUAAUUGAUAUCAAGUGUAAAUAACUUUUUUUUAAUCUAUAUAUCGACGAUAUUACGACUUGUCCUUUUUUCAGUUAAUGCUUCAAUUUUUUUUUAAUUAAUUGAUAAAAAUUUGAUACGCUUAUGACAGUUGAAAGUCAUUAAAAAUUUUUAAAAAGUGGAGGGCACUGUCUGAGAAUGGCCUUAAAAUUCCAAAUCGGAGUGAGUGCCGAUUUAAAUAAAGUCCCCAUCACUCCGAAAUCACUCCGCUGGCAAAACAAACUCUCUAUUUACUCCGUAUGCGGAGUGAUUUUUCGUAAAUCUCCGGAAUUCCAAGUGAUGAAAUGACUUCGAAUUGAAAUAAAAUUCGUAAUUACUCCGAAUUCACUCCCGAUUUUUUACAGUGCAGUCAAAUUUUUUUUUAUUAAUUGUCUAAUUUCUUUAAUGACACGGCAUAGACUAAAUUUUUUUUAUUAACAAAAAUAAAUACCAUCGUCUUUUUUCCCGCGUAAUUUAAAUUACAUUCAAGUUAUACAGAUAAAUUGAUUUAUCUCGAUACUUGGCAAUAGAACAGAGUUUAAACCAUAAAGGCGCGAAUUUAAGUCAAGAUCUUUUCAACGAUACAAAAUUUAAUCAUUAUCUAAUUCUAUCAUAUGGAUAUGGCUGAGACGAAAUUUUUCUUAAUAUAGACAAUAAUAAAAUAAAAUAAGUUGUAUAUUAAAAUACCUGAACACUCAUUCCGGUUCCAACAAUAACACCGAUAAUUUGCGCAACUAGACUGACAGUAACGCAAACAGCGGACAGUAAUGCAAAUCUUCUACCCUCGGGUAUUUGUCCGGUCAUAAAGUAAACAAUGAGAGUGUAAAUUGAAACAGCUAUUAUUUGAAUAGGUAAAUCAGCAAAUUUGUUAGCUAGAUAAAACGAACGUAAUUUAUACCACCUGUUGAAAUGUUCUCGUGUUGCUAUCGGUACUGCCGUUGGAACUAUUAAAUAAAUUAAUUAUUAAUUCAUUGAUUUAAUUUUUUUUUUAUUAAAAAAUUUAAAUACUCACAUGUUAUUAUUGUCGCACUGAAUGCAGAAAACAUUAAAAACAUGAGAUUAAAAAAUAUUAAAUUGAAAUUAUCCAGAGCGUAAGCGGCGUCUUCGCCUAUGUCGUAAUAAAUAACACCGACGAUAAGGGCAAUUAUGCAAUGCAUCGACAGUCGGGUGAAUGUUAAGACCUGGAAAAAAAAUAAAAAUUGAUUAAGACAAUUGGAAUUCUAAUUAGUAAGUAUUUUAUUGUUAUCGGUAAUUUUUACUUUAUCUCUAGAUAAUUUGAUGGCGUUUCUUUUAAUUAAAAUGUACAGCUGUUGUAGAAAUCCAGUGGCAUAGUACCCGGGCUUUUUAUUUAUUACAUCAGUGUCAUUGUCUUCAGGAAUUUCGAGACUCAGUCCUCGACGGAAAGGACAAUCGACUCUCCAAGCUAUUUUUUCACUAGAAACUGAUCUCCAGUCAUUGCACUUGCCGUUGUCAAUUGAGUCGACAAGUUUUUUGUUCCAGUUACCGUAAUCGCCGUUGCAUAUUUCCAACA